AGGAAAUCCAAAAGUCCAGUAUGAUAGAAUUCUGAACAAACAGCCCUCAUGGUGUUGAUGAUCUUACUCUGCCUCUCACCUGAGUGACGCUUCUGGACCCACCGAGGAUGAAGAGAGCCACCUCCCCUGCUGCAGCAGCCCUUCCUCGGUCUCUCUGGGCCUGUAUGUGGCUUCUUCAGCAUUUUGACACUGAACCUGUUCAACUUGCUAAAGCUCAGUCCCUCCCAGGAUACAAGUGGUCAUAAAAACAGUGUUAAGAAAAGUCAUAAAGGAGAAGGAUGUAUUCCUGAGAGAAGCAUGAGGAGAAGAAGCAGCAUGAGACCACAAGCUGCACGGUGCCAUAGAGGAGGUAAAAAAUUUGCUGAUGACUGAGAUGCAUCACUAUGACGUGCUAUGGAAAUGGUAAAGAAUGUAAUGGUAGCACAAGAGACAGUAAGAGAAUGCAGACUGUGAGGUGCUGUGGAAGAGACAAAAGACAUGAAUGAGAAGGACAUACUCCUGUGAGAAGCACAAGAAGAGGUAGCAUGAGAAUGCCUGCUGUGAGGCAUUGAG